CUCGCCCAGCGCGGGCGGCGCACGCGGCCUGUCGCGCGGCAGCCUGUUCACCCGCGACGGCCGGCUGGUCGCUUCGGCCGUGCAGGA
rnacentral:tRNA from 1 species